rnacentral:misc_RNA from 1 species
GAUGAAGAACGCAGCGAAAUGCGAUAAGUAAUGUGAAUUGCAGAAUUCAGUGAAUCAUCGAAUCUUUGAACGCACAUUGCGCCCGCCAGUAUUCUGGCGAGCAUGCCUGUUCGAGCGUCAUUUCAACCAUCAAGCCCCAGGCUUGUGUUGGAGCCCUGCGGCUGCCGCAGCCUCCCAAAACCAGUGGCGGGCUCGCUAUCACACCGAGUGCAGUAGUUUACUCUUCGCUCAGGGCGUGUGGCGGGUGCUAGCCGUGAAACCCCCAUCUUCUCAAGGUUGACCUCGGAUCAGGUAGGAAUACCCGCUGAACUUAAGCAUAUCAAUAAGCGGAGGA